rnacentral:rRNA from 1 species
ACUGCCCGUGAGAAACGGGAGGAAGGUGGGGAUGACGUCAAGUCAGCAUGGCCUUUAUAUCCAGGGCUACACACACGCUACAAUGGACGGUACAAUGGGUCGCCAAGCCGCGAGGCGGAGCCAAUCCUGAAAGCCGUUCGUAGUUCGGAUUGCAGGCUGCAACUCGCCUGCAUGAAGUCGGAGUUGCUAGUAACCGCGCGUCAGCCAUAGUGCGGUGAAUACGUUCCCGGGCCUUGUACACACCGCCCGUCACGUCAUGGGAGUUGGUCACGCCUGAAGUCGGGAGGGUAACCGCAAGGAGCCUACCGCCGAGGGCAGGGCCGAUGACUGGGACGAAGUCGUAACAAGGUAGCUGUACCGGAAGGUGCGGCUGGAUCACCUCCU